AGACAUGCAAGUCGAACGAGCCUUCGGGCUAGUGGCGGACGGGUGAGUAACACGUGGGAACGUACCUUUAGGUUCGGAAUAACGCAGAGAAAUUUGCGCUAAUACCGAAUGUGCCCUUCGGGGGAAAGAUUUAUCGCCUUUAGAGCGGCCCGCGUUAGAUUAGCUAGUUGGUGAGGUAAAGGCUCACCAAGGCUACGAUCUAUAGCUGGUCUGAGAGGAUGAUCAGCCACAUUGGGACUGAGACACGGCCCAAACUCCUACGGGAGGCAGCAGUGGGGAAUCUUGCGCAAUGGGCGAAAGCCUGACGCAGCCAUGCCGCGUGAAUGAUGAAGGUCUUAGGAUUGUAAAAUUCUUUCACCGGGGACGAUAAUGACGGUACCCGGAGAAGAAGCCCCGGCUAACUUCGUGCCAGCAGCCGCGGUAAUACGAAGGGGGCUAGCGUUGCUCGGAAUUACUGGGCGUAAAGGGAGCGUAGGCGGGUUAUCAAGUUGGAGGUGAAAGCCCAGGGCUCAACCUUGGAAUUGCCUUCAAAACUGAUAGCCUAGAGUAUGAUAGAGGUAAGUGGAACUCCGAGUGUAGAGGUGAAAUUCGUAGAUAUUCGGAAGAACACCAGUGGCGAAGGCGACUUACUGGAUCAUGACUGACGCUGAGGCUCGAAAGCGUGGGGAGCAAACAGGAUUAGAUACCCUGGUAGUCCACGCUGUAAACGAUGAUUGCUAGUUGUCAGCCGGCAUGCCGGUUGGUGACGCAGCUAACGCAUUAAGCAAUCCGCCUGGGGAGUACGGUCGCAAGAUUAAAACUCAA
rnacentral:rRNA from 1 species